GAUGAACGCUGGCGGCGUGCCUAAUACAUGCAAGUCGAGCGAACGGACGAGAAGCUUGCUUCUCUGAUGUUAGCGGCGGACGGGUGAGUAACACGUGGAUAACCUACCUAUAAGACUGGGAUAACUUCGGGAAACCGGAGCUAAUCCCGGAUAAUAUUUUGAACCGCAUGGUUCAAAAGUGAAAGACGGUCCUGCUGUCACUUAUAGAUGGAUCCGCGCUGCAUUAGCUAGUUGGUAAGGUAACGGCUUACCAAGGCAACGAUGCAUAGCCGACCUGAGAGGGUGAUCGGCCACACUGGAACUGAGACACGGUCCAGACUCCUACGGGAGGCAGCAGUAGGGAAUCUUCCGCAAUGGGCGAAAGCCUGACGGAGCAACGCCGCGUGAGUGAUGAAGGUCUUCGGAUCGUAAAACUCUGUUAUUAGGGAAGAACAUAUGUGUAAGUAACUGUGCACAUCUUGACGGUACCUAAUCAGAAAGCCACGGCUAACUACGUG
rnacentral:rRNA from 1 species